CGUAUCACAAUUCUUUCGCGCCAGAUUGUCACUGUAUUCUAGUAAGGAGCAUAGAAAUAUAUCAAGACUGCCUGUGCUCGUGGUAAAAAUUAGUGAUCAGGAAGGAAGAGUUAUAAUGUAAAACACUGUUAUCAAUCUUACAUGGGGAACGAUCUUCAAACUAAUGGAAGAAAUGAGUUUACUGUUUAUUCGAAAGACAGAUUCGAUCGUUGAAAUACGUUUACUUGAAAACCAACAAGCCCAAUUCAUUUUUGCAGACAAUGCUGAUAUCGAUGUUUCAGAAAUAUCUACUACGCUUUAAAAUGUAUGGUCAAGACACAGAUUAUAGAAAAACAGGGAUUGUUGAGGGAAGUGUUUAAGACCCAGACAGUUCGAGAUAUCAUUGUUUGUGGUUUAAACAUAGAUCUGUCAACACUCUACAGUGAUAGAAAAGGAGAAGCUAUUAAUUAGUUUAAAAGAGAAUCAUUAGUACCGGUAUACCUGGUACCAGACGACACAGAGGAUCCAGCAAUAGUUGUAAAGGAGGCCACAAACUGCACAGUUAUUUUUCAACUACUUUAAAGCACUACCUUCCACCUGUGUGUCCAUUGCUGAAGUACUGAAAAUCUUCUGGAUGAUAUACACCCUUAUAUUUCUGUUUUUUAUGAACAUUAUUCAAUUAU